rnacentral:rRNA from 1 species
UCCUCGGAGGCAGCAGUGAGGAAUAUUGGUCAAUGGCCGAGAGGCUGAACCAGCCAAGUCGCGUGAGGGAAGAAUGUCCUAUGGAUUGUAAACCUCUUUUGUCAGGGAGCAAAGUCACCCACGUGUGGGUGUUGGAGAGUACCUGAAGAAAAAGCAUCGGCUAACUCCGUGCCAGCAGCCGCGGUAAUACGGAGGAUGCGAGCGUUAUCCAGAUUUAUUGGGUUUAAAGGGUGCGUAGGCGGGCUGUUAAGUCAGCGGUCAAAUGUCGGGGCUCAACCCCGGCCUGCCGUUGAAACUGGCGGCCU